rnacentral:misc_RNA from 1 species
GUGAAUCAUCAAAUCUUUGAACGCAAAUUGCACUUUCUGGUAUUCCGGAAAGUAUGCCUGUUUGAGGGUCAGUUAAAUAAAAAUCGGUGUUGUUGCUGCCUUUCGUGGUGACGCGUCGGAUUUGAGUUGCCUUUCCUUUGGUUAAGUGACUUAAAAUUUUUUCGUGAUUUUCUAACGUGUUUAACUCGCUUACG